CAACCCUUAAACAAACAAUGACUCUCGAAGCUAAAAAGAUGAAAGAAACUGAUUAAGUGACAGCAUUAAUCUCUCAAAUAUACCGGUUCUAGAGCUUCAGUAUUUUUUUCCCAAUUUCGCCCAAUUUGGUCACCUCCUAAUUCCCUCCAGGCUUGCAACAUCCAUUGGUUCAAAAAAUAUAUGGACAGACAGAUGAAGAUUGUUUAAAAAUGUGUUGUCUUCAACAAAGAAUAAAGUGUAAACAUUAAGGAAGAGGUUUCAUCACUGGCUCGUGAGCGAUCAUCGAUAAAUCUGAUGUAAUGUCGGUUCAGGUCUGAGGAGAGCGCUUUAAAGGGGGAUUGAGAACUUUCAGGACCUUGCACAUUCAGCAGAUGUCUCUGUGUCCCUUCUGCUGUGCACUUCAUGCUUCAUGAGAAAAAGGCUACGGAAGAUGCGUUGUAAAACAAAGGCUGAUUUUAUGAGCAACAUUCAGGUGCCUUUACUGGCAACCGGAUUUCUCCUUUUCAUCCAGCAGCCGCAAUGCAGCACCGGCUCUGGCCCUGCCAUAAUUAAUGCAUUCUAAGUGAAUGAUUAAUGCAGUCAGCUUUUGGAAGUAGAAUGUUCGUUUCUCAAAUCAAUCACUUUGUAUCAAACUCCUAUUGCCAAUUAAUAAUUAAGCUCACAUUAUGGCAGCUCUUCUCAACA